UAGCAGCACACAAAACUAUCAUUUUCUAAUUUGCUGGUUUCUGUGAGCUGCUU
rnacentral:pre_miRNA from 1 species